GACGAACGCUGGCGGCGUGCUUAACACAUGCAAGUCGAGCGGUAAGGCCCUUUCGGGGGUACACGAGCGGCGAACGGGUGAGUAACACGUGGGUGACCUGCCUUUAGCUCUGGGAUAAGCCUGGGAAACUGGGUCUAAUACCGGAUAUGACUCCGCGGUGCAUGCUGUGGGGUGGAAAGCCUUGUGCGGCUGGAGAUGGGCCCGCGGCCUAUCAGCUUGUUGGUGGGGUGAUGGCCUACCAAGGCGACGACGGGUAGCCGGCCUGAGAGGGCGACCGGCCACACUGGGACUGAGACACGGCCCAGACUCCUACGGGAGGCAGCAGGUGGGGAAUCUUGCGCAAGUGGGACGAAAGCCUGACGCAGCGACGCCGCGUGA
rnacentral:rRNA from 1 species